GCCUAGUCAAGAUGAAGCCAGAGGAAACUCUGGUGGAUGUCUGAAGUUAUUCUGACGUGCAAAUCGAUAAUCUGAUCUGGGUAUAGGGGCGAAAGACUAAUCGAACCAUCUAGUAGCUGGUUCCUUCCGAAGUUUCCCUCAGGAUAGCAAGCAUACAUUUUUAGUUUCAUCCCGUAAAGCGAAUGAUUAGAGGUCUUGGGGCAUAUAUAGCCUCAACCUAUUCUCAAACUUUUAAUGGGUGUGAGCGAUCUUUCUCAAUUGAAGAACGCUGCUAAAUAAGUGUGCUUAGUGGGCCAUUUUUGGUAAGCAGAACUGGCGCUGUGGGUUGAACCAAUUGUUGAGUUAAAGUGCCUAAAGCUGGAAUGCGCAUGAGAUCUAUAAAGGGUGUUAGUUGCUGAAGACAGCAGGACGGUGGCCAUGGAAGUCGAAC
rnacentral:rRNA from 1 species